rnacentral:rRNA from 1 species
UACGUAGGGGGCGAGCGUUGUCCGGAGUUACUGGGCGUAAAGCGCUUGUAGGCGGUCCACCAAGUUUGGGGUGACAGUUGCCGACUUAAUCGGCAAAGUGCCUCAAAGACUGGCGGACUUGAGGGCCACAGAGGGACAUGGAACUCCAGGUGUAGUGGUGAAAUGCGUAGAUAUCUGGAAGAACACCAAAGGCGAAGGCAGUGUCCUGGGUGGUCGCUGACGCUGAGAGGCGAAAGCCAGGGGAACGAACGGG